UAUCUCUGUAGAGUCUGCAUAUCAAUAAGCGGAGGAAAAGAAACUAACAAGGAUUCCCUUAGUAACGGCGAGUGAAGCGGGAAGAGCUCAAAUUUGAAAUCUUCAAGGUUCUACCUUGACGAAUUGUAGUUUAAAGAAGUGUUUUCUGUUAGAUGAGUAGCAAAAGUUCCUUGGAAUGGGACAUCAUAGAGGGUGAGAAUCCCGUAUUUGGUUAUUCAUUCUAGCUUUGUGAUACACUUUCAAAGAGUCGGAUUGUUUGGGAAUGCAGUCCAAAAUGGGUGGUAAAUUUCAUCUAAAGCUAAAUAUUGGCGAGAGACCGAUAGCGAACAAGUACCGUGAGGGAAAGAUGAAAAGAACUUUGAAAAGAGAGUUAAACAGUACGUGAAAUUGUCCAAAAGGGAAGCGUUUGACACCAGUGUUGUUUUUCCGAAAAUCAAUUACGAAUGGCUUGAUUUUGUGUUGUAUUGACCUUAUCAGCUUUCUGCACUUUUUUCGAGUCUUUCUUAAUGCACUUUUCGGUUAACAAGUCAACAUCAAUUUCUUUUGUUGUAAAAGAGUAUUCGGAAGGUAGCUUUCUUUUCGGAGAAAGUGUUUAUAGCCCUAUACUUCUACAAUCGGAGAGAUUGAGGUCUGCAGCGUAGAUCCUUCGGGGUUAGAUACAUUUGUGCUAAGUUGUAGCUUUUCAUAGACAACUUGUUGACUAUGUUUAGUCAUGCGGCUUACUCGCUUAUGCUAUUUUACCUACGCUUAGGAUGUUGACUGAUAUGUAGUCGUA
rnacentral:rRNA from 1 species